rnacentral:tRNA from 1 species
AGUGGUCUAGUGGUAUGACGUUUCCUUAGCAUCAGACGAUCAUCGUCUGGAAAAGGUUCUGGGUUCGAUUCCCAGCU